GGCUGGUCCAGGUGCAGUGGUGUUUACUAUGGAUCACAACCAGUUACACAUUCCUUUGUUCCUUCUCUCCUACUGCUUCACUUGACUAGCCUUAA
rnacentral:Y_RNA from 1 species